ACGAUGUGAUUUUAUGGUCAGACGCAUCUACUAUGAUCUGUUUUCAGAUAGCUUUACAGGCAUGGAAAAGGCUUGCUUGUAGCAAGAACAUCUGUAAUUUACUACUUCUAAAGUUUGUUGCAACGGGCAAAAGCCAUUUACUCAAGCAUAUAUGGAGUGGUUUGGUCCAGCGUCACUCAAUGCAUCUGCAUCGCGGAUUCUUCCAGCUACUUUGAUUAUGCAAUGACUGAUUUCACACCAUGAAAGUGCCAGAAGUACCUGUCACGUGAAAUUCCUACUGAAGAUGAAAAUGAUGAUGAAAAAUUUAAAUCACUUGUGCUACAUGACAAAAGUAACAACAUUCCUCGUGUUACAGAGCAUCGCUUAUUACAAUAUCUGCAGAUAUUAUCUUCAUUUAAUUACUGAUGCUUAACCACAGCAGCCGACUACAACUUGUACUUACUACAUAGAUGUGUUUUAAAGCAUCAAAAACAUCCUUCUUUAACUUGAACUGCUAUUUGAUGGCGAGUUUACUGAAUGUGAAUGCAUUGAUUGUUAGACAAGUUGUCUGUCCAAACAUGAUCAGAUUAAUAUCGAUUUCUAGAAAUAUCGAUGAUUCUUGGUCACCGCUAGAAAACUGGGAGUAAUUCAAAUUUAAACGAAGACCACUGAAUUGGUUUCUCAAAUGAGACCGUCUUCUUUUUACUGUUCCAUUAAUUACUACUACAACAACAACACCAAACAACAACAUUAAUAACCGACUAUUCUUGGGCCUUGCUGGCCUCAGAAAAUGACUUCGCCGCUGACUUAAACGUCUCAUAUACUUGAUUAUACUGCGGUCUUUACUUUUAGCAUGUGAAAGUUCCUCGACUUAAACGCUUUCAUCUUGCGCAAAGCAGAUGUAUAUCGGAAGUCCAAGGAUCUUUUUGAUAUCUUCAAUUACUUGGUUUCCAUCGAAAUCAUCAUCAAGCAUAUUUCUUCUUUUCUUCAACUUUUAGUCAAAUGUUCGUUCUGAAUCGUACUGAAGUUGAGUCUCAAUGAAAACAAUUAGGUGGCAUUUCAGGUGGAAUUACAAGAACUUUUUACGCUUCUCUUAGAUGUAAGUAGAAUUGAUGACGCGACAUGAAAGCGUCAACACUAUGUUUUGAAACAAAUAUGAACAAAGAACACAGUUUUGAAGAAUCGUUUCAUUGUUUAUUAAAUAUACAUUCACAACUUUAAACUGGUAAUUUGAAAUGUUCUGUUCUUAUAAGGAUAACUAAUUAAUGUCUCAAAGCAAAUUUUUAGU